GCAUAUCUGUAAUACCAGCAUUUGGGAGGCAGCCUACUGUCCAUGCCCGGGAGUUAAAAGAUUGGAUUGGAGAAGACAGAUGCACAAGUUGUAACAGCCAGUGUGGCCAGUGUCAGGACACAGAAGCUGUGAGGCUUCUGGAAGACCAGAGGAGAAUCCCAGCUGGUGUGAGAAUCCCCAAAGUUCACACACCCCCUGCCCCGGAAGGGUUGGGGACAGGGCAAAAGCACAUGGAAGUUUCCAGGUGCUGAGGUGUGGGCCUCAGGUCAAGGUGUUAACAGUCACAGACUGUCCAGUUCCUUGGGCUGUGCGUGUUUGGUCUACCCGAGUCUAAUUACCUCCAGGUUUCUGUCCCCAGCUAUUCCAAUAACCCACCAAUUUAAGUCCGUGGCAAUCAAUUCCAAGCAGGAGAGGAUAAUUGACUCUUAACGUGUGCGGACAUUUCCUGAUUGUGAGAGAACAGAGUCUUCUGGAGGUGCAGCGGGUUCCUUUCUAGCCACCCUGCUGCCCUGUCCUCUCACGUUAGCCAGCUCCUAUACCAACAUCUGGAUAGGCGAUGCACGUCUCUGAUGUCCAUCGUAGUCCCAUGGUGACCAGGUGAGCAGUUUUGAACCGAGGCAGGAGGAUUGCACUCAAACGUGAGCUCCUGUGUGUGGCCCUCAUCCUUGACGCCCUGAGAUGAAGCACAGGUCUUCCUUCCUUCCUGAACUCCACUUUCCUGCCAAUGACAAGGGUGAUCAGCUGCAAACACAGCCCAGGCCUCUUCCUGCUUUGCUGCUCUGCAACUGGACACGUGCUUUGCUCAGUCUGAGGCUCUGAGGGGUCUGGACGCUAGAAUGGACCCUGGAAACAAGAGCCCUGGGUAGGAUUCUGGCUCGGGACUCCAAAACUGAGGCUCCAGUGAGCAGAAAGCACCACGGUGAGCAUCAAGACAGGAGGUGCUGGUGCUGGUGGGAACUGCAGAGGAAUCACCUUGGAUCAACAUAAAUGUGGUUGUGGCCAGGGGAUAGAAGCCAUCCCCAGAGUCCCAGGUCUUUGAAAACCUUCUCCAAGCAAAAUACUCCUAGCAAGAGCUCUCGCUGGGGUGUGUGUGUGAAAAUCAGCUCUUAGCCAUAUCAUAGCUUAUGGGGCUCCUCCACUUCUGUGAGCCUGGGUGACAGCGAAUAAAUCAUUCAGGGCCUAAGUCUUUUUAUCUAUAAAAUGGACUAUCAUCUGGUUCAAGGUCACUGACUGCUAGGGUGGACAGAGGGUCUUGGGUCAUCCCAUAUCCAAAUUCUUUUCCUGUUUAGAGGAAUCGGUGACUAUCCCCUGACCCUGUGUGAUCCUGGAUUUGUCAAGUUUGAAUAUGGUGAAAAUGAAGCAGCAGGGGGAAGCCAGUCAGAGGUCACAACAGGUGUCUGCAGUGGACAAGAGCCCACCAUGCAGCAGCGGCCAGCAGUGACCAGCACGGGGCUGACGAGAGACAUCUCUGUGGUACAUUCUAUUUAGACGUCUUCCUCCCUUCACUCCUUCCCUUUUGUCUUGUUUCUGUUUUUGAGACAAAUCUUUAUGUAGCCCAGGCUGGCCUCAAACUCCAUGUGUAGCCAAAGAUGACCUGGAACUCCUCUGCCUCCCAAGUGCUGGAUAUCAGAUAUCCUUUCUAUCACAAUCCAUUAUUGUUGGCCACUGUAUAGUUGAGCUGUUUGAUCAUAACUUUCAGAACAACCCUGAGUCUAGGGGACAGGAAACUGAAGCGAUAGGAUGAGUAUGAAUUUAUAUAAACAGAAGGAACAGUUCUCUCAUACCUGAAAGGCUGGUCUUUGCUCAACCCAGGAGGCUGGGCUCCUCCGUAGUCUCAAUUUGGCACUGAGAACCUGGUAGAUUCCUUGAAAG
rnacentral:lncRNA from 1 species